GGGUUGUGAGGUUAAGCGACUAAGCGUACACGGUGGAUGCCCUGGCAGUCAGAGGCGAUGAAGGACGUGCUAAUCUGCGAUAAGCGUCGGUAAGGUGAUAUGAACCGUUAUAACCGGCGAUUUCCGAAUGGGGAAACCCAGUGUGUUUCGACACACUAUCAUUAACUGAAUCCAUAGGUUAAUGAGGCGAACCGGGGGAAUUGAAACAUCUAAGUACCCCGAGGAAAA
rnacentral:rRNA from 1 species